UACGGAGGAUGCGAGCGUUAUCCGGAUUUAUUGGGUUUAAAGGGUCUGUAGGCAGAUGAAUAAGUCAGUGGUGAAAUCCUAUCGCUUAACGAUAGAACUGCCAUUGAAACUGUUUAUCUUGAGUGUUGUUGAAGUAGCUGGAAUAGGUAGUGUAGCGGUGAAAUGCAUAGAUAUUACCUAGAACACCGAUUGCGAAGGCAGGUUACUAAGCAACAACUGACGCUGAUAGACGAAAGCGUGGGGAGCGAACAGG
rnacentral:rRNA from 1 species